UGUCAUAGUAUAGUUAGAUGUCAAAAAAUGUCAUAGUAUAGUAAGGUGUCAAAAAUUGUGAUAGUAUAGUUAGGUGUCAAAAAAUGUCAUAAAAAGACAUA